rnacentral:rRNA from 1 species
CACGUAGGAGGCGAGCGUUGUCCGGAAUCAUUGGGCGUAAAGAGCGCGCAGGCGGCUUGGCAAGUCGGGUGUGAAAUCCCGGGGCUCAACCCCGUGACUGCAUUCGAUACUGUCAGGCUAGGGGUAGGUAGGGGAGAUCGGAAUUCCUGGUGUAGCGGUGAAAUGCGCAGAUAUCAGGAGGAACACCGGUGGCGAAGGCGGAUCUCUGGGCCUUACCUGACGCUGAGGCGCGAAAGCGUGGGGAGCAAACAGG